GGGAAUGUGGCUCAAUGGUAGAGCGCUUGCCUUGUAUGCAUGAGGCCCUGGGUUUGAUUCCUCAGCACCA
rnacentral:tRNA from 1 species